rnacentral:rRNA from 1 species
CAACAGUACGUGAAACCGCAUAGAGGUAAACGGGUGGAUCCGCAAAGUCGGCCCGCGGAAUUCAGCUCGGAAGGCUGCGCGCCUGUCGCCGGGUAGGAGAUCGCAAGACUCUCCCGGCGCGGGACGCGUGUCGGCCGUGUGCACUUUCCGUGGGCAGAGCGCCACGACCGGUUUCCGGGCGGUCAGAAGGCGGCGAGGAUGGUAGGCGCGCGCCUCGGCGCGCGCUGGUAUAGCCUCGCCUGUCCCGAUCCGCCUGGGGACCGAGGAGCCGCCGUGGGCUGGGGCCGCCUCGCCCUCCCGGGACGUUCGACUGGCAGAGACUGGGUGACCGUGUCUGCCGACCGCUUCCUGGGACGGACUGGGGUGGGCCCGCCCUCACAGGGUCAGUGGCGAAUCGGUCGGCCCUCCACCCGACCCGUCUUGAAACACGGACCAAGGAGUCUAACAUGCGCGCGAGUCGUUGGGUCGUACGAAACCCGAAGGCGAAGUGAAAGCGAGGGCCGUCUCUGACGUGCUCAGGUGGGAUCCCGGUCCCUCCGCGGCCUGGGCGCACCACCGGCCCGUCUCGUCCGCGUUGU